CGCCGCGCUCAGCGCCCUGCGCAGCGCCAUCACCCCCCGGCCCCCUCCUCUUCCUCCUCCUCCUCCUCCUCCCCUCCCGGCGGCCUCAGCGCGGGAGCCCCUCCGCGUCCGUGCGCGCCACCCGAUUGGUCCGCUCAGCCUAGAGGGCGGGCUUUACACCGAGAUCCCGCUUCUGAUUGGGCGGCGGCGGGGAAUGACGCAGCGCCGCCUGAAGCCGUGCGGGCGCCAGCGCUGCCGCCCGGCGUGGGGCACGGCGCUGCGAGGGGCUGGCCGAGGGGGUUCCCGCUGGUGCCCCCCCCGGUCCCCUCCGGUCCCCCUCGGUCCCCUCCGGUCCUCAGCGGGCCAGCAGCGCUGCAGGGGCUCAGUCUCGUCCCCCACAGCUCGGGGGUCCCCCUGGUGGUCCCCCCCAGUAGGGGGGGGGGGGGGGGGGGUGCAGGGGAUGGGGGGGGUGCAGGGGAUGCAGGGGGUGCAGGAGGGAUUCAGGGUGAUAGAGACAGGGGUGCAGGAGGGAUGCAGGAGGUGAAGGGGAUGCAGGAGAUGCAGGGUGAUGGAGGCAGGGAUGCUGGCAGGGUGCAAGAGAUGCAGGAGGGAUGCAGGAGGGGGAGGGGGUGCCGGGGGGGGUUCAGGGUGAUAGAGGCAGGGAUGCAGGAGGGACACCGGAAUUGCAGGAGGGAUGCGGGAUGAUCAAGGCAGGGGUGCAGGAGGGAUGCAGGAGAUGCAGGAGGAUGGAGGCAGGGAUGCAGGAGGUGCAGGAGGGAUGCAGGAGGGACACAGGAGAACACAGGAGGGAUGCAGGAGAUGUAGGACGGAUGCAGGAUGAUGGAGGCAGGGAUGCAGAAAGGAUGCAAGAGAUGCAGGAAAUGCAGGACCACACAGGAGGGAUGCAGGAGAUGCAGGGGGGACACAGGAGGACACAGGAGGGACGCAGGAGUCCCAGCGAUGCUGCAGCCCACCAGCACCACCCCCGUGCAUACAAACCCCUCUGGAUCCCCCCCUGGAUCCCCUCCCCACACUCCAUGGACCACGAACACGGGACCAGGAGCCCAACGGAGGGGAUGCAGCAGCGAGGAGUGGCUCCAGCU
rnacentral:lncRNA from 1 species